rnacentral:rRNA from 1 species
GUAGGUGGCAAGCGUUGUCCGGAAUUAUUGGGCGUAAAGCGCGCGCAGGCGGUUCUUUAAGUCUGAUGUGAAAGCCCACGGGCUCAACCGUGGAGGGUCAUUGGAAACUGGAGAACUUGAGUACAGAAGAGGAAAGCGGAAUUCCACGUGUAGCGGUGAAAUGCGUAGAGAUGUGGAGGAACACCAGUGGCGAAGGCGGCUUUCUGGUCUGUAACCGACGCUGAGGCGCGAAAGCGUGGGGAGCAAACAGGAUUAGAUACCCUGGUAGUCCACGCCGUAAACGAUGAGUGCUAAGUGUUAGGGGGUUUCCGCCCCUUAGUGCUGCAGCUAACGCAUUAAGCACUCCGCCUGGGGAGUACGACCGCAAAGGUUGA